AUGGAAGGAGAUGAAAUUGUUCAAAAUCAAGGUGUUGGGCAAGUUGCUAGGAAAAAUAAAACCCUCAAUGACCAGCAAAAAAUUGCUGCUUAUGUAGCAUUGCAUACACUGUGUAUGAGUAGAGGAGGCAUUUUUAUGAAAACUGAUAAGCAAGACAUUGCAAAAAAAUUUGGAGUGGGUUUUUGGAAUAUACAAAGAAUUUGGAAGAAAGCAAUGUUGCAAAUUCAAGAAGGUAAGGAGGUGGAUGUUUCCAAUCAGAGAAAAGGAAAUUGUGGAAGAAAGCCUAAGGACAUUAAACUAGAAAAAAUCCUAACAAUCCCAUUGAACAAGAGGUCUACUAUUAGGUCACUAGCCUGGCAACUGGGAUGUAGCCCUACCACACUACAUAGAAAGUUAAUGCUGAAUUUGAUAAGGAGGCAUACAAACUGUGUGAAGCCAGCUCUAAAGGAAAAGAAUAAGAUGGACAGGAUAACAUUUUGUUUGUCGAUGCUUAAUGAGGCAACAACAGCAACUGCAAGGCCUAAGUUCAAGACUAUGCAUAAUGUUGUCCAUUGA
rnacentral:rRNA from 1 species